rnacentral:rRNA from 1 species
AGUGAACGCUGGCGGUAGGCCUAACACAUGCAAGUCGAACGGCAGCACAGUAAGAGCUUGCUCUUACGGGUGGCGAGUGGCGGACGGGUGAGGAAUACAUCGGAAUCUACUUUUUCGUGGGGGAUAACGUAGGGAAACUUACGCUAAUACCGCAUACGACCUACGGGUGAAAGCAGGGGAUCUUCGGACCUUGCGCGAUUGAAUGAGCCGAUGUCGGAUUAGCUAGUUGGCGGGGUAAAGGCCCACCAAGGCGACGAUCCGUAGCCGGUCUGAGAGGAUGAUCAGCCACACUGGAACUGAGACACGGUCCAGACUCCUACGGGAGGCAGCAGUGGGGAAUAUUGGACAAUGGGCGCAAGCCUGAUCCAGCCAUACCGCGUGGGUGAAGAAGGCCUUCGGGUUGUAAAGCCCUUUUGUUGGGAAAGAAAAGCAGCAGGUUAAUACCCCGCUGUUCCGACGGUACCCAAAGAAUAAGCACCGGCUAACUUCGUG